UUUGUGUUAGAUGUUUUUGUUUGUUUGGUCCAACGGGAAGUUUUAUUUUUUUUUACAAAACAAGAGCGCGGACUCAUAAAAGAGCUCAGACAGAAGGCAGGAAGAGAAAUCUACACUUCAGUUUUGACAUGACAACUUUCAACCACUUAGAAAAUAUAGAGGAGCUCUGAUCACACACCGAUACACACAACCUGCACGUCAUCUACACUGUAAAAAAACAACAAAACGAAAGCUAGGAGAUCUGCACGUCUUCUAAAAAAACGGAAUAAAAAUAGAGCUGGGUGUGACGUCUGAAACUAAAACAAUCUGGUUGUAGUUUCGCAAUUCACAGUUAUAAAAGGAAAUAAGUUGAUUAUUUUUAAACCCCUGAAAUAUAUUCAUUAAUAAUUCAAACUUUAAAAUUUGUAAUUAGGAAAUAUUUUUUUUUAAAUGUUUUGCAAUUCCCAGACACUUGAUUUUGAAACUUAAACUUAACAUUGAAACAAUAAAAUCCUGCACACUGAAAUAAAAACAGAGCAUUGAAAUAUUUUAUUUUGAAAACCAUGUGUCUAAAUUGAUGCUUGUAUUAAAUGGAAAACUUAAAGUAGUUUUUGAAUUCAAAAUAUGUUUUAAACUGAGUAUAAAGUUUUAAAACAUAUUUAAACCAUUUAAUUUAUAACAAUUUAACAAUUAAUUUGAAAGUUUCUUGUGUUCAAAAAUUAAGGAAGACAAAGAAUGUCAAUCUACAUGAUUUUCAAAUUAAAUGGUUUCAAUGAUUUGACUUCAGUGGUGUUCAAAUUUACUCCGAAUUUUACUGUGACGUUUAUUUGCGUCCUCAUACGACAUGUUUAAACUUUUCUGUUUGGUUUGUUUUUGAGUGCAGUGCCCCCCCAAAAAAUAAAAAAAAUAAAACCUAACAAAAUAAAAAAGUUCAUAAGCGCCUACUUCAAUUCUUUAUCAAAACUAAAACCUUUGCAUUGAUAAAAUACAACAUCAACAGUGUAAAGACUAAGAAAACAUCUCAGUUUGUGUGUCGUCACCAGAAAAUGAAAAAACACUGCAGAGAGAAGGACGCGUGAUUCGUAAGAAACCCCGACAAAGCUGAAAUUUACAUUUCAUGGUUGUUUCUGUGACACUUUCUUUCAAAAGCCACAACACAGAAAAGA